ACGAACGCUGGCGGCGUGCUUAACACAUGCAAGUCGAACGGAAAGGCCUGCUUUCCCUUGUGGAUUGCGGGUGCUCGAGUGGCGAACGGGUGAGUAACACGUGAGUGAUCUGCCCCCAACUUGGGUAUAAGCCUGGGAAACUGGGUCUAAUUCCCGAUAGGACUGCAGGGUGGUGCCUGUGGUGGAAAACGAUUUUCUAGUGGUUGGGGAUGAGCUCGCGGCCUAUCAGCUUGUUGGUGGGGUAAUGGCCUACCAAGGCGGCGACGGGUAGCCGGCCUGAGAGGGUGGACGGCCACAUUGGGACUGGGAUACGGCCCAGACUCCUACGGGAGGCAGCAGUGGGGAAUAUUGCACAAUGGGCGGAAGCCUGAUGCAGCGACGCCGCGUGGGGGAUGACGGCGUUCGGGUUGUAAACUCCUUUCGACCGCGAGGAAGCCACCUGGUUGGAAGGGUGGUGACGGUAGUGGUAGAAGAAGCACCGGCUAACUACGUG
rnacentral:rRNA from 1 species